AGCGACGCCGGGGCCUGGAGAGCGACGGCGCGGGACCAGCGAAAGGUUGUAUGAAAAACCGAAGGCAUCUGGUUACAAAAAGGAGCAUCAGUCCAAGACGGAGAGGGAGCAGGGCCAGUUACAAACUGCACAGAGUUCAUGGCAAAAUGAAAAGAUUUUAGAUAGAGCAGUUCAUUGCUUUUGGAGUGUGUUUUCUGAAGCUCGAUGAGGAUCCC